UACAGAGGUCUCAAGCGUUGUUCGGAUUCAUUGGGCGUAAAGGGCGCGUAGGCGGCGAGGUAAGUCGGGUGUGAAAGCCCCGGGCUCAACCUGGGAAUUGCAUUCGAGACUGUGUAGCUAGGGUACGGAAGAGGGAAGCGGAAUUUCAGGUGUAGCGGUGAAAUGCGUAGAUAUCUGAAGGAACACCAGUGGCGAAAAGCGGCUUCCUGGUCCAG
rnacentral:rRNA from 1 species